UAGCUCAGUUGGUAGAGUGCUUGUCUUGCAUGCACAAGACCCUGGGUUCAAUCCCCAG
rnacentral:tRNA from 1 species